UAGGGAAUCUUCCGCAAUGGACGCAAGCCUGACGGAGCAACGCCGCGUGAGUGAAGAAGGAUUUCGGUUCGUAAAACUCUGUUGUUAGAGAAGAACAGCGCAUAGAGUAACUGUUAUGCGUGUGACGGUAUCUAACCAGAAAGCCACGGCUAACUACGUGCCAGCAGCCGCGGUAAUACGUAGGUGGCAAGCGUUGUCCGGAUUUAUUGGGCGUAAAGCGAGCGCAGGCGGUCAAUUAAGUCUGAUGUGAAAGCCCCCGGCUCAACCGGGGAGGGUCAUUGGAAACUGGUUGACUUGAGUGCAGAAGAGGAUAGUGGAAUUCCAUGUGUAGCGGUGAAAUGCGUAGAUAUAUGGAGGAACACCAGUGGCGAAGGCGACUCUCUGGGCUGUAACUGACGCUGAGGCUCGAAAGCGUGGGUAGCAAACAGG
rnacentral:rRNA from 1 species